UGCCUGGAAAGUUUUUUAUUUUGUUGUUCAGAACAAGGACCCUAAUUCUUCUUAGGACUAAGAGAACUCUGUAGGGUACGCAGUAGUCGUUGGCCUGAGAAAACACAAAAUGCCACUCAAGACUGCAGACUUGUUUACAGAGAAAACUGAACCUGUGGCUGGCUUAGCAUCGGAGCCUACGCUGGGGCAUUGUCUACUGCAAUCCGCCUAGACCUGCCCCCCUGCCCACCCUCCCCGCUUCAGCCAUUACACCCACACCUUGAGAAUACAACCUUUCUUUGGAUGAAGUAGGAUUCAGUGACUGGAGCGUUAGGUCAAAUGUUCAGUUGAGGGUGGGGACAUUUAAUUUGGUAAGAUGAUGGCUCUGAGCACCAAUUUCUUUCAUUCCUAAGUGGCCUAAUAACAUCGUGGAGAAGAUGAUCGGGUCGCCAGCGAAUGGAGAGCUCCAGCUGAGAAGGCGGCCGGCGGAAUAUAAGGGCAGCAGGCGCCGGGCGAGAGUCAGAUCCGCGGCGCUUCCCACUCGGAGAGAGGCUCAGCCCGAGCCUAGAGCCAAGAUCCGCCACGAGAAGGGCCGGGGGCAGCCCGCGGGCGCAGCGCCUUCCUCUCCACGACACCCACCCACUCUCCGCUUUGGCCGUGGGGUCUUUUUUUCACAUUUGGACGCGGUGGGCUGGAUUCCUUCGGAACGCGCGGAUCUUGGCGGUGGCCCGGGAGGGACGAGGCUCGAGGGCUCUCUGCAAAAACCCGCCGCCGCCGCAGUGUGACAUCUCCGGCUCGCGAGCUGCAGGGGCGAGCGCGUCGCGUCCACUCGCCCGCCCACCCGCGACUGCAACCCACAGCCGACAGGCCCUCUCCGCUCGCCCUCCCGAAGCCACCGGGGAUUAUCACCUCGCCCAGAGGGAUUUCCAGAUCGCUGCCUUUUAAUCUGCCUGGGGAGGAAGCCUGUGCGAUUCUCUUGGGAAUUAAGCUCCAGAUCUGGGCGCUUUCUCUCUCCCUCUCCUUUUUUAUCCCCCCUCCGGGUGAAGAAGCUGAAGACAAAACCCAGGAGAGGCGACCCUCACCUACUCAUUGGAUUGGAAGGAAAAGGGGGAAAACCGAAAGUUGCCGCUCCGCCUAUNNNNNNNNNNNNNNNNNNNNNNNNNNNNNNNNNNNNNNNNNNNNNNNNNNGUCAAACCAGCCU
rnacentral:lncRNA from 1 species